UACAGAGGGGGCAAGCGUUGUUCGGAAUUACUGGGCGUAAAGGGCGCGUAGGCGGCCUGCUAAGUCGAACGUGAAAUCCCCGAGCUCAACUCGGGAACUGCGUCCGAUACUGGCAGGCUUGAAUCCGGGAGAGGGAUGCGGAAUUCCAGGUGUAGCGGUGAAAUGCGCAGAUAUCAGGAGGAACACCAAUUGCGAAGGCAGCUCGCUGGGACGUUACUGACGCUGAGACGCGAAAGCGUGGGGAGCAAACAGG
rnacentral:rRNA from 1 species